rnacentral:sRNA from 2 species
GGGAAGGAUGAGAAGCUUCGACUAAGGUUCGAUUCGAACGCAGCGAGAAAGCGUUGCCGCAGGCAACGACCCGAAGGGCGAAGCGCGCAGCGCUGAGUCAUCCUUCCCCCACCACCA